rnacentral:rRNA from 1 species
UACGUAGGGGGCAAGCGUUGUCCGGAUUUACUGGGCGUAAAGAGCGCGUAGGCGGAUUGCUAAGUCAGGGGUGAAAUCCUGGAGCUCAACUCCAGAACUGCCUUUGAUACUGGCGAUCUCGAGUCCGGGAGAGGUGAGUGGAGCUGCGAGUGUAGAGGUGAAAUUCGUAGAUAUUAGGAAGAACACCGGUGGCGAAGGCGGCGACCUGGGUCGAGACUGACGCUGAGGCGCGAAAGCGUGGGGGAGCAAACAGG